UGGAGCUCAGGAUGACCUUGUGCUUGACAGGCAGGCGCAGUGCCACUGAGCUCAAUCCCCAGCCAGCGCUAUCCAAGUGCUCUUCGAUGACCUGGUCAUACAGCAGUACCGUAUACUCUGUAGUCCAUCUAAGACAGCAGGAGGAGCUGUGAGAGAACCUGGCACAGCCUGGCACAGCAGGUGAAACAGCGUUAGUGCAGGGGAGCAGCACAGCCCGGCAGAAGGAACACCGAGUUUGGAAUUACCAGCAGCUGCUGGCCACGCCGCUAACAAAGGAGACACUGCUGACGUCCUCCACAGACUGAACGCUGCCCCAGAUCGUCAACACCGGAGUGCAACUGAAAUACCACCACGAGUCAGGAAUACUCCGGCUGGAAGAGCAGUGCCUGGCAGAGACACAGAGAAGCAGACAAUUCCAGAGGCCUUGAGGGAGACAUGCACCCGUGGGACAGAGCAGUAGAUGCCAUGCACUACAAAAGCUGGUUUUUUGAGGCAGUCUCACUCUAAUUUAGGCUGGCCUUGAACUCACUAUGUAGCCCAGGCUGGCCUCGAACUUGGAGUAAUCCUCCUGCUGGAAUUACGGGUACGUGCCAUCACACCUGGCAAUUCCUCAUUUUCUAGACUGUCCCUGAUGCUACUGUUAUUACUGAUUUUACUACUUUAGGCAUAGUGACCAGUUGUUGUGAUCAGCUGUUCUUCCUUGUAUGCCAAUAUUGAGAUUGGCUGGGGUUAUAAACAGUACCAUAGUCCAGUACCAUAGAAAUGGGUACAAGGCCAAACAGGCAGCGACCUCUCACAUCCUAAUAAAUGGAAGAAUUAAGAAGUAUCCUGAGACAGACUCCAAGGCCAAAACCCAGUUAUGCCUAGGAGACAUCUCUGAAAAGUAGUCAUUUCCUUAAGAAGUCUCAAUACUAGUAAUAAAGCUACCUGCCA